AAUUCUUUAGUUUAAGGGUAAAACGCAUUUUUGAUAAGAAUGAUAUUCAAGUUCGAGUCUUGGAAGAAUUA
rnacentral:tRNA from 1 species